UACGUAGGGUCCGAGCGUUGUCCGGAAUUAUUGGGCGUAAAGGGCUCGUAGGCGGUUUGUCGCGUCGGGAGUGAAAACACGGGGCUUAACCCCGUGCCUGCUUCCGAUACGGGCAGACUAGAGGUAUGCAGGGGAGAACGGAAUUCCUGGUGUAGCGGUGAAAUGCGCAGAUAUCAGGAGGAACACCGGUGGCGAAGGCGGUUCUCUGGGCCUUACCUGACGCUGAGGAGCGAAAGCGUGGGGAGCAAACAGG
rnacentral:rRNA from 1 species